rnacentral:siRNA from 1 species
AUCUAUGUAAUUCUCUUGGCCCA